UCUCGGGCACAUAUAAGGCCUGGGAAAUCAUUUGGUCGGGCCCUGUCAAGGCAUGAGGGGUGAGUUAAUUAAAUGCUUGACCAAACAGAGCAGGCUAGAUUUUAAGUUGGCAAUCGUGUAUGGCCUGUAAUGUUAUGAAUAUC